UCUGGUGAUCAUGGACGCGGGGAAACACACGUUCCCAUAUCGAACACGACCGUUAAGCCCGCAGUCGCCGAUGGUAGUGCAGCCUUGCUGCUGUGCGAGAGUAGGUCAUUGCCAGGU
rnacentral:rRNA from 1 species